GGGCCGGGAGGAUGUGUGUGUGCGUGCGUGUGUGAGUGUGUGUGCGCGCGCCCCGGGGGCAGGGAGGCGGGGGGCGGCGGCGGGCGGCGGAGCGCGGGGGCUGGUUCCUGGUCCCCGGGAGAAGCCAAGAAGGUCCUGAGUUCAAGAGAAACAGGUGUCUAAACAGAAGUAAAAUCCUGUGGAAGUUUAGGAUAAUUGAAUUACUCGCAAAUUGGAGUAUCCUGGAAAACUUCCUGGAGGAAGUGGCCUGUGCUUUGUAUCAGGAAAAAUAGGUAUCAGAAUGGUGCGUGGGUUUGGUUUGAAGCUAAAGAAAGGAGAAAGAGCCAGAGAAGAAGAAAAAAAGCCUGCCAGGGACGUGGUAACUGCCCUGCCAAGAGUGAUCCUGGGAGGGCUAUUGAAAGAGCUCUGAGGCCUCCUUGGCAUAUGGAAGUUCCCAGGCUAGGGGGGUGGAAUCCGAGCCACAUCCGUGACCUACACCGCAGCUCACGACAACGCUGGAUCAUCAACCCACUGAGUGAGGCCAGAGAUCGAACCCGAGUUUUCCUGCACACCAGUUAGGUUUGUUACCACUGAGCCGCAACAGGAACUCCCAGGAGCUUUAUGAGUGAAUGAACAAAUGCAUCAUUCCACCCCCACCUCACCGCCGCCACCCCGGGGGAGAGAGUCUACAGCUUUUAGCAGAAUCUCAAAGUUUUUUGUAACGCAGGAAGGUUGAGGAAGCUGAUCCAGGCAAUCUCGAUGUAUAAGUGGGUACUCUAAGGCCCAGAGAGGGCCAGGGACUGGUUCAGGCAACAUAGGGCAGAGUGGGGGCCAGAAGCCAGCUCGGAGUCCUUUGUACCAUUCCCCAGUGCUGUGGAUCUUGGGAAAUUUAGGGUGGGGUUUAUGGAGUUGGGAUCACCGCUAGAACUUGGAUUUAAAAUAGACACUUUAAUAAAGGUCCUUUGAGUCUCCA
rnacentral:lncRNA from 1 species